rnacentral:rRNA from 1 species
CCCUUAGAUGUUCUGGGCUGCACGCGUGCUACAAUGGCGCUUGCAACAAGUCUUGCCAACCCGAUAGGGUGAGCGGAUCUUUGAAGAGGCGUCGUGAUCGGGACAGUUGAUUGCAAUUAUUCGACUCGAACGAGGAAUUCCUUGUAAUCGCGAUUCAUCAUAUCGCGCUGAAUACGUCCCUGCCCUUUGUACACACCACCCGUCGCUCCUACCGAUUGAGCGAUCCGGUGAAUGUUUUGGACUGGCGUCAGAAGCGGUUCGCUCCUGACACUACGAAAUUUUGUAAACCUUAUCGCUUAGAGGAAGGAAAAGUCGUAACA